rnacentral:rRNA from 1 species
AGUGAACGCUGGCGGUAGGCCUAACACAUGCAAGUCGAACGGCAGCACAGGAGAGCUUGCUCUCUGGGUGGCGAGUGGCGGACGGGUGAGGAUUACAUCGGAAUCUACUUUUUCGUGGGGGAUAACGUAGGGAAACUUACGCUAAUACCGCAUACGACCUACGGGUGAAAGCAGGGGAUCUUCGGACCUUGCGCGAUUGAAUGAGCCGAUGUCGGAUUAGCUAGUUGGCGGGGUAAAGGCCCACCAAGGCGACGAUCCGUAGCUGGUCUGAGAGGAUGAUCAGCCACACUGGAACUGAGACGCGGUCCAGACUCCUACGGGAGGCAGCAGUGGGGAAUAUUGGACAAUGGGCGCAAGCCUGAUCCAGCCAUACCGCGUGGGUGAAGAAGGCCUUCGGGUUGUAAAGCCCUUUUGUUGGGAAAGAAAUCCAGCUGGUUAAUACCCGGUUGGGAUGACGGUACCCAAAGAAUAAGCACCGGCUAACUUCGUGCCAGCCGCCGCGGUAA